AUUAGGAUGUAGUCAACUGACCAGAGGCAAGAUUUAAAGAAAACCUAUUCUCCUUGUUGCAGCAGCUGUUAAUCACCAAUAGCUCUUUAAAUGUGGGGCUUCAGUCCUCUUCUGACAUUAACUCAUUUACUCACCACGUUCUUUCUUUGCAGUGUACCCACUCAGUACUACUGAUUUUGAAGAUUCCCCUGGGCUGGAGAGAGAGGUCAGUGCUUGAGAGAAUUGGCUGCUCGAUCAUGAAGACAAAAGUUGACCACACCCACAUCAAGAACAGCAGUGACAAACAUCUAUAAUUCCAACUUGAGAAGAACUGAUGCCCCCUUUGGCCUUCAUGGGCAACCCUACCAGAGACAUGCAUACACAUCCAUUAAUAAAAAUGUUUAAAAGUAAAAAAUUAAAACAAC
rnacentral:lncRNA from 1 species